rnacentral:ncRNA from 2 species
UAGAAAAUUCAGGGGAGCUUAUGAACGUAGGCUGAGAGGAAGUCAUCAAACUUCGACCCUUAUACCUGUACGGAUAAUGCCGUCGUAGGAAGAUGUUAUAGCGACUUU